rnacentral:rRNA from 1 species
AUGCAUGUCUAAGUUCAGACCAAACUCUAAAAACGGUGAAACCGCAGACGGCUCAUUAAAUCAGAUAUAACCUACUGGGCCUUAACAUCUCUCUAGUUGGAUAACUGUGGUAAUUCUAGAGCUAAUACAUGCCUCGAGUCUCUGACGGUGGCCUACUACGACUACUCGUCGUAGCUCAGGUCGUCGGAGGAGCGCUUUUAUUAGAAGCCAAAACACCCCCGCUCGCACGCUUCCUUCUGGUUGCUGCUUGCUACGUGCUUGGUGAGUCUAGAUAACCACUGCUGAGCGCACGUGUGCCGUCCCCCACCGUUCACGCGGGGGGGAUCCGACGGCCCGGCGCCGCACCCAAAGAGAGUCUGCCUUAUCAGCUAGACUGUAGGUUAAAUUCCUACAAUGGCUAUAACGGGUAACGGGGAAUCAGGGUUCGAUUCCGGAGAGGGAGC